GCAGUUGCUCAAGGUGUCAGUGUGUGUGUUUUUCCCUUAUUUGAAGAGCAGCUUGCUCUUACACACAAAUACAUACAGACAUAUAAUACAAAACAAAAACAGUUCAAAACUGAUUUCAGCCACGUACUGAGUCGAAGUUUUCUGUCUUUGUUGCGGUUGUGUGGAUUCAGGCACUGCUGGUGAGGAACUGGAAUGCUUUCACCUGGCCGGCUGCAAGCGGCGUUUUUUUCCAAGAAGAUAGCGGGAACACGUGCGGCUGUUUCACGCGGCUUACCACGGCCUAUUGUAUCUGGUGAACAAAUUCCCAAAUUUCAAGUUGAUGUAGAGUAUAGACUACGCCAAGGUAACCUGCAGUAUCUCAGGGAUGCAUCCUUUCUUAAAGUCACAAAAGAACUAAAGCAUGACAUACUCGAGAAAUUGGCUGAGACCAUGUAUGCAUUUAAAGCAUACCCAACGAAAGAAGAUUUUGAGACUGUUGCUAAGGCUUUAGUGCAAA